GGCGGCGUGCUUAACACAUGCAAGUCGAACGGUAAGGCCUUUCGGGGUACACGAGUGGCGAACGGGUGAGUAACACGUGGGUGAUCUGCCCUGCACUUUGGGAUAAGCCUGGGAAACUGGGUCUAAUACCGAAUAUGACCAUUGGUUGCAUGACUGGUGGUGGAAAGCUUUUGCGGUGUGGGAUGGGCCCGCGGCCUAUCAGCUUGUUGGUGGGGUGAUGGCCUACCAAGGCGACGACGGGUAGCCGGCCUGAGAGGGUGUCCGGCCACACUGGGACUGAGAUACGGCCCAGACUCCUACGGGAGGCAGCAGUGGGGAAUAUUGCACAAUGGGCGCAAGCCUGAUGCAGCGACGCCGCGUGAGGGACGACGGCCUUCGGGUUGUAAACCUCUUUCAGCACAGACGAAGCGCAAGUGACGGUAUGUGCAGAAGAAGCACCGGCCAACUACGUGCCAGCAGCCGCGGUAAUACGU
rnacentral:rRNA from 1 species